rnacentral:misc_RNA from 1 species
GUGAGUCAUCGAAUCUUUGAACGCAUCUUGCGCUCCUUGGUAUUCCAUGGAGCAUGCCUGUUUGAGUGUCACGUAAACCCUCACCCUUGUGAUGUCAAAGUCACGAGGCGUGGAUUUGGACCGUGCCGUAAUUGGCUCGUCCUGAAAUGCAUUAGCUUGCGCCUUUUAGAGUGCUCGGCAUGGUGUGAUAAUUAUCUGCGCCGUCGCCUUAGGCCUCUUCUGUGAGUGCUGCUUCCAAUCGUCCCCAGUGGACAACAUAUUACAAACUUUGACCUCAAAUCAGGUAGGACUACCCGCUGA